CGUGGGUAACCUGCCCAUCAGAGGGGGAUAACAUUCGGAAACGGAUGCUAAGACCGCAUAGGUCUUCGAACCGCAUGGUUUGAAGAGGAAAAGAGGCGCAAGCUUCUGCUGAUGGAUGGACCCGCGGUGCAUUAGCUAGUUGGUGAGGUAACGGCUCACCAAGGCCGUGAUGCAUAGCCGACCUGAGAGGGUGAUCGGCCACAUUGGGACUGAGACACGGCCCAA
rnacentral:rRNA from 1 species